UAAUAAUCUCUCCUAUCAUUGGAGCAUGAAGUGAACCUACACCUCCUUUUGAUUUUCUUUCUUUCGCCAAAUUAGGAACCCUCACCACCCCGGCUCCUCUCAUUACGACCGACCUCCUACCCCGCUGCGAUCGACCUCAACAAACAGCGACCAAGCCAUAGACUUCGAGACCAAACCAUUGCCCCGUCACCUACCGCCUCCAUGCUUGGAAACAUAAGGAACUUUGAGUAUGAGCUGUGUUCUGGCCUCGUGUAGUCUUUUCAUUUUGUAGUCAUGUAUAUUCAUCAUGAUGAGCUCAUUUAUUAUAUGCCUUAAACUAAUAUAUAUGUAUCAUGUUGGGCUUGUACUAGUUGUACACAUUAGAUUAAUAUAAAUGAAAUGCUAUUUCUUUUCCUUUCA